UACGAAGGGAGCUAGCGUUGUUCGGAAUCACUGGGCGUAAAGCGCACGUAGGCGGCCUUCUAAGUCGAACGUGAAAUCCCUGGGCUCAACCCAGGAACUGCGUCCGAUACUGGAAGGCUUGAAUCCGGGAGAGGGAUGCGGAAUUCCAGGUGUAGCGGUGAAAUGCGUAGAUAUCUGGAGGAACACCGGUGGCGAAGGCGGCAUCCUGGACCGGUAUUGACGCUGAGGCGCGAAAGCCAGGGGAGCAAACGGG
rnacentral:rRNA from 1 species